rnacentral:rRNA from 1 species
UACGUAGGGUGCAAGCGUUAAUCGGAAUUACUGGGCGUAAAGCGUGCGUAGACGGUCAUGUAAGUCGGGUGUGAAAGCCCCGGGCUCAACCUGGGAAUUGCAUUCGAAACUGCAAGGCUCGAGUCCGGAAGAGGGGGGCGGAAUUCUCGGUGUAGAGGUGAAAUUCGUAGAUAUCGAGAGGAACAUCUGCGGCGAAGGCGGCCUUCUGGACGGUGACUGACGCUGAGAUGCGAAAGCGUGGGGAGCAAACAGG